rnacentral:rRNA from 1 species
UCCCAUGGGGGUAACUCUGUGGGGGAAGUGGCGAAAGGGGCAGUAAAGCGUGGGUAACGUACCCCGGGGACCGGGAUAGCCUCUCUAACGAGAGGGUAAUACCGGGCGAUCCAGCGAAGGGGCAUCUCUUUGCUGGGAAAUGAAUUUCGCCUCGGGAGCGACUCACGUGCUAUUACCUAGUUGGUGAGGUAACGGCUCACCAAGGGAAAGAUGGCUAGCGGGUGUGAGAGCACGACCCGCGCCACUGGCACUGGGACACUGGCCAGACUCCUACGGGAGGCUGCAGUCGAGGAUCUUCGGCAAUGGGCGCAAGCCUGACCGAGCGACGCCGCGUGUGCGAUGAAGGCCUUCGGGUUGUAAAGCACUGUCGAGGGGGAGGAAGCCGCAAGGUUGACCUAUCCCUGGAGGAAGCACGGGCUAAGUUCGUGCCAGCAGCCGCGGUAAGACGAACCGUGCGAACGUUGUUCGGAAUCACUGGGCUUAAAGGGCGCGUAGGCGGACUGCCAAGUCCGGGGUGAAAUCUUUCGGCUCAACCGGAAAAUAGCCUCGGAGACUGGCGGUCUAGAGGGGGGUAGGGGCAGCUGGAACUUCCGGUGGAGCGGUGAAAUGCGUUGAUAUCGGAAGGAACGCCGGUGGCGAAAGCGAGCUGCUGGACCUUUUCUGACGCUGAGGCGCGAAAGCCAGGGGAGCAAACGGGAUUAGAUACCCCGGUAGUCCUGGCCCUAAACGAUGGGUACUAGGUAGUGGACUGGACAUGGGUUCCCUGCCGAAGCUAAAGUGCUAAGUACCCCGCCUGGGGAGUAUGGUCGCAAGGCUGAAACUC